rnacentral:lncRNA from 1 species
UUAAACGCUUUCUUCUGUUUGUUGCCUUGGUCAUGGUGCCCAUUACAGCAAUAAAAAAGUAACUAAGAGAGUGAUGUUGAGAAUCUUUUUAUGUGUUGUGAUCAUUUGAAAAUUUUCUUAGCUGAAAUAUCCUUGCUUAUUUUUAAAUCAAGUCAUUUGUCAAUUCAUUAUUAAGCUUUAGUUGCUUUUUUAUUUUUUUUAUUUUUAUUUUUUUACAUACUGUGGCUCAAACUCUUUAUCAGAAUAAAGGUUGGCAAAUACUGUCCCCGAUUGUAUAUUUGACUGUUUUUUUUAAACUCUGUUAACUAUGCCUUUUGCCAUACAGUUUUUUUCUCAUUCAAUUUGUCCACUUUUUGCUUUUAUUACCUGUGACUUUGAAUUAUAUUUUAAAAGAAGUUAAUGGGCAGGAUGGUUCAAUGGUUAAGAACAUUGUUUGCUCUUGCGGUGGACCCAAGCUAGAUUCCUGGCACCCACAUAGUGGCUCUCAACUCUCUGUAACUCUAAUUCCAGGGCACCUGAUGCCCUCUUCUGAUCUCUGUGGGUAUUGUAAACACAAGGUACACAUACAAACAUACAGGCAAAAAACACCCAUGCACAUAAAAUAAGUGAUUCAUACAAAACAUUUUAAAGUUAAAAAUGGUGUAGUUCAAAGAUGAUAAGCAAGACCCCUCCAGGGGGUGGGGGGGGCGUUGAGAUACAGCCUGAAUCCAGAUCUCUGAAGAGAGAGAGCUGGUACAGGAGAGGUAAACACGGGCAAAGGCAGGCAUGGACCACGAAGAUCUCAUGCCUGACCCGUGUGUUGUUCUUACUUCAGGUCACCACUCUCCUAAAUCACAGUAAGAGUAUCCAGAGACUUUUCACACUCUUUCAGACUCCAUCCUAAUUUGCCUUAGAGGCAGCCGAGCGGGUUCUCUGGAACUCUUGACUUUGAGCAUCCAAUUCAGGGUCCGAACUCAUCUUCAAUGAUCUCUGUUCCUUUUCAGGAGGUUUUGGAAUGGGGAGCAAAUCCGCUGCCACCAGCCCGACAGGCUCAUCACAUGGCACCCCCACCCAUCAGAGCAAGCCCCAGACUCUGGAUCCCUUCGCUGACCUGGGGACACUAGGUAUAUAUACACUUAUCAGGUUUAGCUGUGAAUAAUACUUGAUGCUAAUGUCAACCAUGUCAGGGACAAAGGCACAGCUCUACACUGUUCCUAUAGCAAUGUAAGACUUCCCUUAAUCUUUUUUGGGACCUUAGGUAAAACUGGAUCCUUGAACUCAAUUCAAAGCAAAGUGAGAGUUUAAGCACUAGUGUUAAGAGGAAGAGAGGUACUGGGGAAGAAAUUAAGACAGGUUUGAGUGCAUAGGUGUGGGCUUCUCAAAGUAGAGUCUCGUGUGAGUAUCUUAGUAUUAGCCAUAGAGACUGUUUUGCUUUCUUUUCAGGUAACAUCUCAAAGAGUUGCUUUUUUGCCUCCUUUUCAGUUAAUGAGGUUCUAGAGUGGCUCCAGAGGUGCCUUGGAUGGGAUUAUAGUGUUAUAAAAAAAUAAAACAAAACACCACCACCACAACAACAACAACCCAAACCAACCCAGAGCCACUAGAGUUACACAAGGGGUUCAGAUCACACACUUUUACUGUGAAGUGGGUUUCAGGUGAGAUUCACAGAAAAGUGAAGGCUUACCAUUGGGAAGAGAGAAAGGCUUUGCACAAAUAUUUAUUACAUUAGCAUUCUUCUUUCUCAGCCAAGAAUAAGCCAAAUAUAAAAGCAGUAGAUGGAAAUAAAUAGAUUGGAGCAGAGGACUGAAGUGAUGGCUCAUCGGUUAAGAGCACUGACUGCUUUUCCAAAGGUCCUGAUUUCAGUUCCCAGCAACCACAUGGUGGCUCACAACCAUCUAUAAUGGGGUCUGAUGACCUCUUCUGGUAUGUCUUAAGACGGGGGCAGUGUACUCACAUACAUAAAAUAAAUAAAUAAAUCUUAAAAAAAAUGGGAGCAGAAGUGAGCGAAAUAGAAAUGGACAAAUAAUACAAAAAACAGAACAGUGAAGAGAUGAGUUAUAAAUAAAAUGGGCAAAUCCUUCACCAACUAAAGAAGAGAAGAUGCACAUUAAUAAAAUUAAAGGGGGGAAGGAGAAAUUACAACAGGUAUCUGUGAAAUUCAUAAAAUCACAAGAGCAUGCUUUAAAAUUUUACAUUCCUCUAAAUUGGGAAACCUAAAAGAAACAAUUGCAUUUCCAGAUGAUUUGACCUAAUGAAGUUAAAUAAAGAUGGAAAACAAUUCAAGCAGUUCUGUAACAAGCAAGGAAAUUAAGCAGUGAUCUGAAAAAACAAAACAAAACAAAACUCUAAAACUGAAAAUCACCAGGCCCAGAUAUAUUCAUAGACGAUUGGUUAUACCAGGGCAUUACAAAAUUAUAGUACCAACCCUGCUCAAAGUAUUCCGUAAAAUUAAAAGAAAGGUAUAGCCAGUUUUAUCCUGAUGUUUAAACCAGAUAAAGACUCCACAACAAAAUUUCUCUGAUAGAGUUACACAAAAACUCCCAGUAAAAUACUUGGAAACUGAGCUCACGUAAUAAUGACCACUCACCACGACCAAUUUAGCUUAGCUUCCUUCCAGAAAAUAAGGAUGGUUCAACGUAUGUAAAUCAACAAAGGUCAUACAUCAUAGAAACGGACUCAGGGCAGAACUCUUGACAAAAAGCAAACAUUGGUCAACAAUAGCCUUUGAAAAGCUCAGAAUGGAGGGAACAUAUCUUAAUAUAGUAAAAGCAGUGUGUGGUCAACCUAUAGCCAGUGCUAAAUGAAGCAAAACUCAAAGCAUUUCUCCUAAGAUCAAAAAUAAGACGAAGAUGUCCGCUUUCUCCACUCUUAUUUAAUGUAGUGCUGGAAGUCUUAGCCAGAGCGAUAGGACAGGAGACUUGAUUAAAAUGGAUGUAAAUAGAGAGGAAGAAGCCAAAAAGCACCUUUAUGCGUUGGUCCAUGGUUCUACACACGAGAGACCAGAAGGACCCCACCAGAAGACUGUAGAAGCUGAUAAACGCUUUCAGCAAAAUAGUAGGAUAAAAAAAACCCAACAUAACAUAAAAAGCCAGUAUCCAUCCUGAAUACUAAUGUUUGUGCUAAGAAAGGGAACAAAUUCUCAUAGAAGCCUCCAAAGCAACAACAGAAUAUCCCAAAACCUUUGGAAUAAACUAGCCAAGGGAAUGAAAGAUCUCCAUAAUGGAAGCCUUAAAAUAUUUAUGAGAGAAGCAGAGGAAGACAUUAAGGAAGGAAAGCUCCCCCGACCACGCCCAUGGACCGCAAGAAUUAACGUGGUAAAAAUGGUCACCCUAUGAACAAGCAAUCUACAGAUUUCAUGCAACCCCAAUCAAAAUUCGCUGCCAGCACUGAAGGGAUGGCUUAGUAGUUAAGACCACUGAUUGCUCUUCCAGAGGACCCAGGUUCAAUUCCCAGCACCCACAUAACCACUCACACUUGUCUCUAACUCCAGUUCCAGGGAUCAGACACCCUCACACAGACAAAAAAAC